rnacentral:rRNA from 1 species
ACGCUGGCGGCAGGCCUAACACAUGCAAGUCGAGCGCACCUUCGGGUGAGCGGCGGACGGGUUAGUAACGCGUGGGAACGUACCCUUUUCUACGGAAUAGCCUUUGGAAACGAAGAGUAAUACCGUAUACGCCCUUUGGGGGAAAGAUUUAUCGGAGAAGGAUCGGCCCGCGUUAGAUUAGAUAGUUGGUGGGGUAACGGCCUACCAAGUCUACGAUCUAUAGCUGGUUUUAGAGGAUGAUCAGCAACACUGGGACUGAGACACGGCC